rnacentral:lncRNA from 1 species
UAUUGACGGUGGUGUUGGUGGCGAUGGCGAAAGGUUAGCUGACAACUGAACAACACACAUCCGAACUAAACGAGCUGCGAGUGGAGUGUAGAAGUGGAGUUGAGGCUGGAGUAGAAGUGGAAUGAGGUUUUUUUUCUGUAACCAACUCAGAAGGAAACAAUGAAAGGCUGUCAAUACAUUGUCGUCAGUUUGCUAUUUGCUGCGUUGGUGUCUUCGGUGUCCUGCCAAUGGUUUUACAACAAUCAACUGAACUGCUUUGCCCGUUGCAUGACUUGCCUUAUGACCGGGCUCGACUGUGAACCUCACCAUCCAUUCCCAUCAGGCUAUGAAGAGUGCCAGUUCAACUGCAUAUUAGAACACGCGACCGUUUAUCAAACCCUUUCAGCAAUUCAAAACGGUUUACAUGUUUGCAGGGAGAGAAAAACAAGAGACCUCAACGUUCUUAACUCGUGUGUCCGUCAUCAAAUUAGAGUUAUGUUCCCAGAAGUCUAUGUGCAGUUAACUUGGAUGCCUCAAACCAGAACAGCAUACUGAAAAACUUGCUGAUUCUUUUUUUUUCAUUUUGAAUGUAAAAUUGCAUGUAAAAUUGAAAAUAUCAAAUUAAUUUUGAAAUAUAUUUCAAAGCUACUGAACACAAAAAGAUAUUUCCUUUUAAAUAUGUUGUGUGUCAAAAUAAUUAUGAAAGACAUGUACAGCAAUUAACAGAAAGGAAAAUAAACAGAUAUGGAUAAACUCA